AGAGAAUGGGAGGAAGAGGAGGAGGAGGAGGAGGAGCGUCUUCUUUGGCAGAGGCUGAGGCUCAGUCAUCCCUAUUACAGAUCCCUUGGACCCCCCACUUUACGUUGCACCCCAGGCAGCUUCCCAAGGGAGGACCUGGUCUGGGACUGAGGCUCUGCUUGGACCUGGAGAGGAUGAGCUGUUUAGGCCUGUCAAGGGACAGGAAUCAAGUGGACCCCCAGUCUCAGGCUGGACAUUCGCUCUUUCCAAAACCUAAGUUACCUCCUCUUUAGUUUG